rnacentral:rRNA from 2 species
CCUAUGGGGUGCAGCAGGCGCGAAACCUCUGCAAUAAGCGAAAGCUUGACAGGGUUACUCUGAGUGAUUUCCGCUAAGGAAGUCUUUUGGCACCUCUAAAAAUGGUGCAGAAUAAGGGGUGGGCAAGUCUGGUGUCAGCCGCCGCGGUAAUACCAGCACCCCGAGUGGUCGGGACGAUUAUUGGGCCUAAAGCAUCCGUAGCCGGUCCUGCAAGUCCUCCGUUAAAUCCACCCGCUCAACGGUUGGGCCGCGGGGGAUACUACAGGGCUAGGAGGCGGGAGAGGCAAGCGGUACUCGAUGGGUAGGGGUAAAAUCCACUGAUCCAUUGAAGACCACCAGUGGCGAAGGCGGCUUGCCAGAACGCGCUCGACGGUGAGGGAUGAAAGCUGGGGGAGCAAACCGGAUUAGAUACCCCCGUAGUCC